AAAAGAAAAAAACGAAGACACUCAGAUGUGGAGGACGUUGCUGAAGAAGAAGGAACAAGGGUUGAAACCCACAACUCAAUUCUUUCACUGAAAAUGGUUCAUCAUUACCCAUUACAACAACUAUAACCUAAGAGCUCUCUUAUUCUGUCUUUGUGUCACAAAAAUUAUUUGCAAGAUCUUCAUAGUAGAGAGAAAAGAAGAAAAAGAGACAAAUGAUAUGUUGAAAGAGCCUCCAGUAGUCUCUCACUCGCCUAACUUUGCACUCCGUUUCUGAACAAGUAAUACCCAAGUUUUGAAGAACUUGUAGUACUCUUCUUCAAUUCCAAUUGCGAUGUCUACAAUCCUCAAGGUUGGUAUCAUGCCAAGGUUGUGUUGGUGCCGUGAAAAGGGUUCUUGGAAAACUUGAAGAUGGAAGAUUGUCUUGUUUCAAUUGGCGGCGUUCUUUUGGGGAGGAAAUUGCUAACUUUCAGCUUAAAUUCGGGUCUAAGAGGACAUGUCUUGGAAUUUUUCUUAUACAUAUGAAUUGUGUUAAAAUUCUAGACCAAGAGGAGAUGAAAUUUUUUUAUUUUUUGCCACUUUCUUAUGUAUAUCUUAAGAUGUAAUGAGAUAACAUUGUUAGUUCAUCAAUUUAUGAAAGUCAAGUUAGAAGGAAA